CUCCUCUCUUAUGUUUUCAUUUUUCUUUUUGUUUUUGACCUAAGAGGCUGUGACGCCUCUCUCUCUCGACCGUCUCUACUUCGAUCCUCUCACUCUCAAUCGAUCAGCCACCGUGCUGUCUCUAUCCCUGCACGCAGUCUCAGUUUCUGAUCGCUGACAACGUCUAUUCCUCUCCUGCGAUUUCUUCUAUGGGUUUCUCUCUCAUAUCUGUCAAAGUUGUUUAGCAUCGCUACUGAUGCUGAGCUUUGAAAGUUUGGAAAAUUUUGCUUAAAUGGAGAUAAAUAUUUGCUGCCAACACUAUUUUUUUUUUUUUUGAGUUAAUAUGUUUGUUUUCUAUAAUUUGUAAUCUGUUUUGUUGAUUUAAAUCUGUAAUUUGUAAUCUAUAUGUGAUUUAAAUCUGUUUUGACUCUGUUUCUUGCAUCUUUCGAUAGGAAAAAUCUGUUUGUACUGUGUUUAAAUCUGUAAUUGUAAUCUGUAUGAGAUUUAAAUUAUGUUUCUUGCAUCUUUGAAUAGGAAAAAUCUGUUUUUACUAUGUUUAAAUCUGGUUUUUGGAUAGGAUAUAUAUUUAGGGAGUUGUAUGCAUAGGAAAAUAUGGUUUGAUAGUUUAAAUUUGAAUAAGACUCUCCCUUCUCAAUGUGAUGAAGAUAUGUUGGAAGGUAUUUUUCUUGCAUCUUAUUUUAAUUAUGAUUUGUUGAUGGUGAAACUUUGUUUUAAUUCUUUUAAAUGUU